CCUGGUGGUUGUAGCGCAGUUGACACACCCGUUCCCAUUCCGAACACGGAAGUUAAGAACUGCAGCGCCGAUGGUACUGUGUGGGAGACUGCAUGGGAGAGUAGGUCAUCGCCAGGA
rnacentral:rRNA from 1 species